ACCUGUCAUAACAAUUUCUUGCGAAUUUCUUUUCUAAAAAAAGAUUUUAUAUUCGCUCACGAUUCUUUGGCUUGAUGGCCAGGCUGAGUACUACUCUUACACAAGUUUGAAUAUUUGAUAGUCUGAACGAGUAAAAAUGGCUAUAUAAUAAAAUCAAUAGGUUUUUUUUUGCGGUUUGACUAGUUAGCGAUAGAUGCAGUUGGAUGCAGUUGGAUGUUGGAAUGCGCAUUGUUUUAUGAUUUGAAAACAAAACUGGCGUAACUAGAAAAGAGAGAAAAGAGAAUAAAAGUCGUCACGGCGGGAUGGGCGCACUAUAGGAGGUUAGGAGUUUGGUGAUGGCAGUAGGUUGAUUCGGGAGGGGGAUCGUGCAGAUGAGACUAGUUUUUUUAGUAUUAUUCAGUUGAUGUCGGACGUGCCCAAAAUUCAAGGCUGACGGCCAAAUAAAAUGAAAUGGAUGAAAGGCGAGAGGGGGGAAAUGGCCAGCAGACAGGGUUGACUUCUUUUGUCCUCUCGUUCAAUUCGCCGGUCAUCGGCCCUAGUCGGCCCGGCCGCGAUGUGUUUUUCGCCGUUGUUGUUGGUUCGAUUGAGAGUCUCCCGUCAUUGACAACAAUUUAUGUGUCCGAUGGCCGCUAGAUGUCUGCUGAUGGACUCAUAUUUCUCCCCUAAAAGUUAAAACAUCCUUCCGUAUUCCGACAGUACCACCACCAACCCACUGGCACUGCAUAUAGACUCGGAGAGAAGAAGUAAGACAAAUGCAUAUUACGAAGUAGAAGAAUGAGUCGAGCACCACUUCAUAUGAUUACAAUUUCCAGCCGAGGGAAAUAAGGGGCGGCCGGCCCCACCCAGCGCUUUCACAUGAAACAGCACUGUGUCGUCUGCAUGUAGCAGACCAUCAUCAUAUCCCUAAUGAAAAGCAUCUGCGGAAGGAGAGAGGAAACGGCCAUAGAGACACACACACACACACAAGAUUCCGGUAGGUUCUUUUGUACUACGCACUGCACUUUUUAUUGUCAUCUUUGUCAUCAACAACAUCGUCAUAUCAUCGCCGCCGCCACACACCGCGUCAUUGCUGGCCACACACACACAACAACAACAACAUACACAAA